ensembl:misc_RNA 7SK 7SK RNA
GGAGGUGAGGGCGAUCUGGCUGCGACAUCUGUCACCCCAUUGAUCGCCAGGGUUGAUUUGGCUGAUCUGGCUGGCUAGGCGGGUGUCCCCUUCCUCCCUCACCGCUCCAUGUGCAUCCCUCCCGAAGCUGCGCGCUCGGUCGAAGAGGACGACCAUCCCCGAUAGAGGAGGACCGGUCUUCGGUCAAGGGUAUACGAGUAGCUGCGCUCCCCUGCUAGAACCUCCAAACAAGCUCUCAAAAGAAGACCUACAAACAGCCAACAAAUGUGAGAAAAAGCUCAACAUCACAAAUCAUCAGAGAGAUGCAAAUCAAAACCACAGUGAGAUACCAUCUCUCACCUGU